AUAUAUCACAGAAGUAAUGAAGUGUUAAUUCUGGUCUCUUAUAGCCAUUGAGCCAUAAAUGGAUUCCAAGACUUCCAUUAGGCUUAUCAUAAUCUCGAUGCUUUUCUUUCUGUUUCUCUCAUCUGCAAAGGUGAUUGCUGACCCAAGCAAUGUCGUCCCACCAGCCAAAAAGAAGAGUUCCUUGCCACGAGCAAUUGUUGUCCAAAGAAAACUUAAAUCGCUGCCUACGGAUGUGCCGUCACCAAUUGACUCUCACCAUCAUCCUUGACAUUGCUAAGAUGGUUGUGUAAUUCUUUAAUACCUGUGGGAUGUGAUACUCAUUUUUCUCACAUGAAAUUGAUUCAUGAUGAGAUUUAUUAUUUAUAUGAAAUAAGAGUGUACUGGCUUAUUGUAUCCCAUAAAUACUAAAUAGUUUUCUAA